UACGAAGGGUGCAAGCGUUACUCGGAAUUACUGGGCGUAAAGCGUGCGUAGGUGGUUCGUUAAGUCUGAUGUGAAAGCCCUGGGCUCAACCUGGGAAUGGCAUUGGAUACUGGCGACCUAGAGUGCGGUAGAGGGGUGUGGAAUUCCCGGUGUAGCAGUGAAAUGCGUAGAUAUCGGGAGGAACAUCUGUGGCGAAGGCGACACCCUGGACCAGCACUGACACUGAGGCACGAAAGCGUGGGGAGCAAACGGG
rnacentral:rRNA from 1 species